rnacentral:rRNA from 1 species
AGAGUUUGAUCCUGGCUCAGAGUGAACGCUGGCGGCGUGCCUAACACAUGCAAGUCGAACGAGAACGGGGUAAAGCUUGCUUUACUUGUCAGCUAAGUGGCGCACGGGUGAGUAAUGUAUAGUUAACCUGCCCUCAAGAAAGGAAUAACAGAUGGAAACGUCUGCUAAUGCCCUAUAUGCCCAUAAUACAGAAGUAUGCUGGGGAAACGCUUUAGUGCUUGAGGAUGGGACUGUAUUGUAUCAGCUAGUUGGUAAGGUAAUGGCUUACCAAGGCUAUGACGCAUAACUGGUUUGAGAGGAUGAUCAGUCACACUGGAACUGAGACACGGUCCAGACUCCUACGGGAGGCAGCAGUGGGGAAUAUUGCACAAUGGAGGAAACUCUGAUGCAGCAACGCCGCGUGGAGGAUGACACUUUUCGGAGCGUAAACUCCUUUUAUAUAGGAAGAUAAUGACGGUACUAUAUGAAUAAGCACCGGCUAACUCCGUGCCAGCAGCCGCGGUAAUACGGAGGGUGCAAGCGUUACUCGGAAUCACUGGGCGUAAAGAGCGUGUAGGCGGAUAGAUAAGUCAGGAGUGAAAUCCUAUGGCUCAACCAUAGAACUGCUCUUGAAACUGUCUAUCUAGAGUAUGGGAGAGGUAGAUGGAAUUUCUGGUGUAGGGGUAAAAUCCGUAGAGAUCAGAAGGAAUACCGAUUGCGAAGGCGAUCUACUGGAACAUUACUGACGCUGAGACGCGAAAGCGUGGGGAGCAAACAGGAUUAGAUACCCUGAUAGUCCACGCCCUAAACGAUGUGCACUAGUUGUUGCGAUGCUAGUCAUUGCAGUAAUGCAGUAAACACAUUAAGUGCAACCCCUGGCGAUGUACUGUUGACAAGACUCAAACUCAAACGAAUAGACGGGGACCCGAACUAACGGCCGAGCACGUAGUUUUACUGGGAGCAUUCCUAAAGUACCUUACCUGGUAUCGACAUUUCCAGAACCUCCCCGUGACAGACUUGUGUUGGCAGACAGAAGGUACAUGACAGUUCCUCCACGGCCAUGGUCAUCUAGUGUCGCGCGCCGCUGGGCUAACUCCCGCAACGAGCGCAACUCACGUCGUUAGUUGCUAUCAGUUCGGCUGAGAACUCUAACGAGACUGCCUACGCAAGUAGGACGAAGAUGUGGACGACGUCAAGUCAUCAUGGCCCCUACGUCCAGGACUACACACGUGCUACAAUGGGGCAUACAAAGAGCUGCGAUCCCGUGAGGUGGAGCAAAUCUCAAAAAUGCCUCCCAGUUCGGAUUGUAGUCUGCAACUCGACUACAUGAAGUUGGAAUCGCUAGUAAUCGUAGAUCAGCUAUGCUACGGUGAAUACGUUCCCGGGUCUUGUACUCACCGCCCGUCACACCAUGGGAGUUGAACUCAUUCGAAGCGGGGAUGAUAAAGUAGCUACCCUCCACAGUGGAUUCAGCGACUGGGGUGAAGUCGUAACAAGGUAGCCGUA